GACGAACGCUGGCGGCGUGCUUAACACAUGCAAGUCGAACGAAGAGCGAUGGAAGCUUGCUUCUAUCAAUCUUAGUGGCGAACGGGUGAGUAACGCGUAAUCAACCUGCCCUUCAGAGGGGGACAACAGUUGGAAACGACUGCUAAUACCGCAUACGAUCUAAUCUCGGCAUCGAGGAUAGAUGAAAGGUGGCCUCUACAUGUAAGCUAUCACUGCAGGAGGGGAUUGCGUCUGAUUAGCUAGUUGGAGGGGUAACGGCCCACCAAGGCGAUGAUCAGUAGCCGGUCUGAGAGGAUGAACGGCCACAUUGGGACUGAGACACGGCCCAGACUCCUACGGGAGGCAGCAGUGGGGAAUCUUCCGCAAGGGACGAAAGUCUGACGGAGCAACGCCGCGUGAGCGAUGACGGCCUUCGGGUUGUAAAGCUCUGUUAAUCGGGACGAAAGGCCUUCUUGCGAAUAGUGAGAAGGAUUGACGGUACCGGAAUAGAAAGCCACGGCUAACUACGUG
rnacentral:rRNA from 1 species